rnacentral:lncRNA from 1 species
UGGGGUUAGCAGUAGACUGUCAGGGGAGAGUGGUCUGAGGUUAGUAGUAGACUGUCGGGGAGAGUGGCAUGGGGUUAGUAGUAGACUGUCAGGGGAGAGUGGUCUGAGGUUAGUAGUAGAUUGUCAGGGGAGAGUGUUUUGGGGUUAGUAGUAGAUUGUCAGGGGAGAGUGGUCUGGGGUUAGUAGUAGAUUGUCAGGGGAGAGUGGUCUGGGGUUAGCAGUAGACUGUCAGGGGAGAGUGGUCUGGGGUUAGUAGUAGACUGUCAGGGGAGAGUGGUCUGAGGUUAGUAGUAGACUGUCAGGGGACAGUGGUCUGAGGUUAGUAGUAGACUGUCAGGGGAGAGUGGUCUGGGGUUAGCAGUAGACUGUCAG